UGAGCCCCAGGGGCACCCUGGGAGACCCGGCCCCUUGGUCCAUCCCUGCCUCCCCAAGGACGUGUUGCUGCGGACAGGACUGGACAGAACGGAAGCCAGAGCACAGCCCCGAACUGCACCACCCAACCCCGUGGACAGUGGAGGACUGACCAGCUACUCACCUGAUGUUAUGGACACUCGUAGAUUGCGCCGGCCCCACCAUGAGGGAAUUGGUUGGUACAGGGCUGCUGCCCCCUGACCACCCAACCCUCCCACCCCCUAGCCCGCAACUGUAUCCCCUCCUUCCAGACAGUGCCAUUUCUUUUGGGGGUCAAGGGUCAAACACUGCAUCAUGGGUGCCAAACCAAUCUUUUGCAACUCUAGGAGGUGAUGGAGGUGUGUGCGUGUGUGUGUGUAUGUGUUGUGUGAGAGCGAGGGCUGGGACAGGAGCAGGGCGAGAAGGGCUGCCUCUCUUUGGCCGGGUAAAGGUUUCUGGAAACAGGGGUCUAGAGUCCUGGCCUGUACUCCUGGGACCUUAAGACCGGCGUGAAGUCGUCCCGGGGCCCUUAAUUCUGUAGUCAGUGCGACUUACUCCCGCUCUGGUCCAUUGGGAGUUUCGGGCCUGCUCUGGCUUCAAGAGUACAGACUCUCUUUCCCGCCUGAGGGGGCUGAGCCUGGGGGAGUGAGGGACAGGAGUAGUGGGGUGUGUGUGUUUCUGUAUGCAUGUGUCACUACCCCAUGUCCUCCAUCCCUCCUGGAUGAGCACAAUGUGGGGGGAAGAGGACUAGCAGCAAAUUCUAAAGUGGGAAGAUGCAAAAUGGUUUCCCUCCCAUCCUACCAAUAGAAAUGGCACGGUCUGGCCCCGUCUUCUCCUCCUCCCCCUCUGUCCCCUUGGCUGCCUGGGCUCUGUAAGCCCCUAUACAUCUGUAUGGAAUAAAAUGGAUAUGAUUUUU